AAUAUAGUGGCCUAGUGGUAGAGCGUCUGCCUCGGAUUACGGGAGGUCGCUGGUUCGAACCCCGGCCGACUUAUACCA